GCAUAGCUCAGUCGGUACAGCAUGAAACUCAUAAUCUCAGGGUUGUGGGUCUGGGCUCCAUGGUGAGCA